AAUCACACUCACUCAACCCACACUCUCACUCUCACUCUCACUCACGCUCAGGUCGAUCUCUCCCCCGAUCUCGUCACUUCACCUCCGCCGCAGCUGCUGCAUCCUCCGCCGCAGCUGCCGCUCCUCCGCCGUUGCUGCUGAUUUCCGCACUCACGCUUAAGUUCGCCUCCGCCGCCCUCCACCGCCGACUCCCGCUGAUUUCAGCGUCACUCGCCGCCGUCAACGUCGCUGUCUCCGAUCAUUGAGCCGGCGGCUUCGCCGCCGUCUGCGAGCUACAUACUACCAUAAAUCUGCCGCCGAUCUCUCUCUACUUUCUCUCUCCAGAUCUGCCGUCGAUCCACAGCGAUCCGCCGCCGUCAUAACCAGAUCUGAACCACCGAUCCUCCCUCUCUCUUCAUCUCCGAUCGUGAACCACCAAUCUGAAUCAGAUCGUGAACCGUUGACUUCGCAGAGAACUCCGUCGCCGGCGGUGGUGUUGAUCGGAGGUGCGGUGUUGAUUUAGGUUUGCAAGGGUGAAACAUACAAGUUGUUUUGGCCUGAUCAACCUGAAUUUGUGAGGAUGGCAGCAAGGUUUGGGGCUACAAUUGUACCAUUUGCAACUGUUGGAGAGGAUGACAUUGCAGAAGUUUUGGCGAGGAAAUAAUUGAAGCUGAAAUGGAGUUGACGCUAACGUAGUGCCUUGGCUGACUUGAAAUCAUGACUAAAGUCGAAUAACUUUAUUAUCUUAUAUAUUAGCUAUUAAGGAUCUUAUAAUUUCAUUUGAUGUUGUAUUUGGAUAAUUUUAAGUUUUUAUUUAAUAUUAUUUGAACCUUUGGUUAUGUACGAGAGUUGGAAUGCCCUAUUAAGAUGUCAACUUUUUAAUUUAUUAA